UAAUACAUGCAAGUCGAGCGAAUGGAUUGAGAGCUUGCUCUCAAGAAGUUAGCGGCGGACGGGUGAGUAACACGUGGGUAACCUGCCCAUAAGACUGGGAUAACUCCGGGAAACCGGGGCUAAUACCGGAUAACAUUUUGAACCGCAUGGUUCGAAAUUGAAAGGCGGCUUCGGCUGUCACUUAUGGAUGGACCCGCGUCGCAUUAGCUAGUUGGUGAGGUAACGGCUCACCAAGGCAACGAUGCGUAGCCGACCUGAGAGGGUGAUCGGCCACACUGGGACUGAGACACGGCCCAGACUCCUACGGGAGGCAGCAGU
rnacentral:rRNA from 1 species